rnacentral:rRNA from 1 species
UACAGGGGGAGCUAGUGUUGUUCGGAUUUACUGGGUGUAAAGGGAGCGUAGGCGGGAAUCUAAGUCAGGGGUGAAAUGUCAAGGCUUAACCUUGAACCUGCCCUUGAUACUGGGUUUCUUGAGUAUGGAAGAGGGUGAUGGAAUUCCUGGUGUAGCGGUGGAAUGCGUAGAUAUCAGGAGGAACACCGAUGGCGAAGGCAGUCACCUGGGACAAUACUGACGCUGAGGCUCGAAAGCAUGGGGAGCAAACAGG